GACGAACGCUGGCGGCGUGCCUAAUACAUGCAAGUCGAACGCUUUUUCUUUCACCGGAGCUUGCUCCACCGAAAGAAAAAGAGUGGCGAACGGGUGAGUAACACGUGGGUAACCUGCCCAUCAGAAGGGGAUAACACUUGGAAACAGGUGCUAAUACCGUAUAACACUAUUUUCCGCAUGGAAGAAAGUUGAAAGGCGCUUUUGCGUCACUGAUGGAUGGACCCGCGGUGCAUUAGCUAGUUGGUGAGGUAACGGCUCACCAAGGCAACGAUGCAUAGCCGACCUGAGAGGGUGAUCGGCCACACUGGGACUGAGACACGGCCCAGACUCCUACGGGAGGCAGCAGUAGGGAAUCUUCGGCAAUGGACGAAAGUCUGACCGAGCAACGCCGCGUGAGUGAAGAAGGUUUUCGGAUCGUAAAAACUCUGUUGUUAGAGAAGAACAAAGGAU
rnacentral:rRNA from 1 species